AGAUCUUGACAUUCGUACCUCCUUGAAUCAACUGAUUCAUUGGGCGGAGGGAGGGAGCAGCGGUGGCAGUGAUCGCCCGAGACCACUAAUUCGCAAUGGAGUGAGAGAAAGACGAUGCAGGUCAGUGGAAGAAGAACGAGGCAAGUGCGGGUGGGAUCUGGCCACGACAGCGAAGAGGUUUUCCGGUCAGAUCUGGUGGCCACGAUGCGACGGAGAUGAAGACGGGUGAGGAAGAGAGUACAUGUGGUCGCCGCAAGAGCUGUGACGAUGACUGAGACGAAGACGGCGGCGAAGGCUUUAGAUUUUGACGGUUUCAAGGUGGGAAUGGGGAGAUUAAAGUAUGGUGUUUCAAAUUUUAUUUUUUAAAAAUAAAUUAAAAAUUUAUUAUUUCAUAUUUUAUUAUAUAAUUUUGAUUAAUAGUUUUAAAAAAUAGUUAAUAAAGAUAAUUAUGACAUGUCAUUAAUUUAGAUGACGUGGCUUUGAUAUAUCAUUUAUUUAAAAGCAAGUGAACUACACACAUGAUAAAAGGGUUUAAAAUUCUUCUUUCGAUUGAGUAUAAGGGUUCAGUUGAUAAAAGAUUAAGUAGAACGGUCCAUAAUACAAACGCGUACAAGUAUAAGGGUCCAUUAGACCAUUUUGCCUAUAUGUAAAAUUAAAAGUACAAAAAACAAAAAAUUUAGAAGAAAGAAACGCAUGAG
rnacentral:lncRNA from 1 species